rnacentral:rRNA from 1 species
CAGUAGCCGCGGGAAUACAGAGGGUGCGAGCGUUAAUCGGAUUUACUGGGCGUAAAGCGUGCGUAGGCGGCUUUUUAAGUCGGAUGUGAAAUCCCUGAGCUUAACUUAGGAAUUGCAUUCGAUACUGGGAAGCUAGAGUAUGGGAGAGGAUGGUAGAAUUCCAGGUGUAGCGGUGAAAUGCGUAGAGUUCUGGAGGAAUACCGAUGGCGAAGGCAGCCAUCUGGCCUAAUACUGACGCUGAGGUACGAAAGCAUGGGGAGCAAACAGGAUUAGAUACCCGAGUAGUCCCUGUCUCUUAUAC